UACGGAAGGCAGCAGUGGGGAAUAUUGCACAAUGGGCGCAAGCCUGAUGCAGCCAUGCCGCGUGUAUGAAAAAGGCCUUCGGGUUGUAAAGUACUUUCAGUCGUGAGGAAGGUGUUAAGGUUAAUAACCUUAGCAAUUGACGUUAGCGACAGAAGAAGCACCGGCUAACUCCGUGCCAGCAGCCGCGGUAAUACGGAGGGUGCGAGCGUUAAUCGGAAUUACUGGGCGUAAAGGGCACGCAGGCGGUUAAUUAAGUUGGAUGUGAAAUCCCCGGGCUUAACCUGGGAAUGGCAUUCAAGACUGGUUAGCUAGAGUCUUGUAGAGGGGGUAGAAUUCCAUGUGUAGCGGUGAAAUGCGUAGAGAUGUGGAGGAAUACCGGUGGCGAAAGGCGGCCCCUGGACAAAGACUGACGCUCAUGUGCGAAAGCGUGGGGAGCAAAACAGGGAUUAGAUACC
rnacentral:rRNA from 1 species